AAAAAAUCUUUAUAUUACCUUCAGUAUUUGGUAUUGGUGUUGUUAGCUAACUUUCUAAUGCCAAAAUUCACCAAACUUGAUAUCUUAAGUGGGUUUAUGGAACUUUUUCUUUUCGUAUAGAAAAAUUUCAUUUUUGGAGUCAAGAUAGCUUUUUUUGUGUGAAUAAAAUGUUAGUGUUAUGGUGAUUUUACCGUAGGAGCUUACGUGUUUGAAUAGUUUCUAUUAGUGAAUAACAUGAAUGACUAACCAUAUUAUUUGUAUUUGUGAAUAAAAUGUUUGUUUGUUUUUGUCUUUCAAUAUAAAAUUUACAAUCUAACAUAAAUGAACCUCUCAAUUAUACAUUUCAAUGUAAAGGUAGAUAUAUAGUGCCCAUAAAGAUGCUUAAGAGACCUCCUAGAGCUGAGGAUGAUCACGAAGAUAGUUUAGUUUUGUCAAAGAACGUUGGAAACAGUAGCUUUCAAGUUGCGACAGUUGUAAAUGCUAUUGCAGCAGUGAAUUUGGUUGCAACCGAGUCAGCAGGGGCUGUAAGUACAGAGAAUCUAUUGGAAGGAGCUGCUUCUGUUUAUAAUUUGGCUGAUGGAGGUCUGGGAAAUUGGUUUGGAGGCUUUCUCUUUUCAGCUGGACAACAGGCUAAUGAGGCUGUCCAAGACCAGUUAUCAGCUCUCAGUUUCACUAGUUUGGCAGUUAUCUUUGGGGCAGGGCUUGUAACCAGCCUUUCUCCUUGUACACUAAGUGUCUUGCCACUGACCCUUGGUUACAUUGGAGCAUUUGGUUCUGGAAAAAGUAGAGCAGAGAUCGUUGGGGAUUCCAUUGCAUUUGCAUUGGGAUUAGCAACCACUCUCGCAGUCCUAGGCAUAGCAGCCUCAUUUGCUGGAAAGGCAUAUGGACAGAUAGGGCAGGGAUUACCUUUGGCAGCCUCUGGUUUAGCUGUUCUUAUGGGUCUAAAUCUCCUUGAGAUAAUUGAAUUACAGCUCCCCUCGCUUUUUAACAAUUUUGAUCCCCGUGCUGCAGCCGCCAACUUCCCAACAAGUGUGCAAGCAUAUCUAGCUGGGCUUACGUUUGCCUUAGCUGCCUCCCCUUGCAUUACACCAGUGUUGGCCACUCUUCUAGGAUAUGUGGCUACAUCCAAGGAUCCAGUUUUAGGAGGCAGCCUACUUACGCAACUGGCUAUGUUGCUCCUCUGCUUCUUGCUGCUUCUUUCGCUGGAGCAUUGCAGAGCCUGCUUUCAUUCCGCAAGUUCUCAGCAUGGAUCAACCCAAUCAGUGGUGCACUUCUGUUAGGAGGGGGUGUUUAUACUUUUUUGGAUAGGCUAUUCUGUAGGGAAUUUAAUCAAAAAAUUCCUAACCUGUGA